AAGUCGUAACAAGGUUUCCGUAGGUGAACCUGCGGAAGGAUCAUUAACACUAAUGAAAUCCAAAACCUUUUGGAUCAACCCAACCUUUAGCGAACCGAUCGUUUUUCUUUCUCCUUGCCCCUUUUUUUAUCAAACCCAACUUAUCUGAUGUAAAGUGUCUGAUUUCAUAUUCUCCACGACGCCUUGAUUGGCUCGGAGGGAAUCAAAAUCUAACGCAAUACAACUCUUAACAACGGAUAUCUUGGCUCUC
rnacentral:misc_RNA from 1 species